rnacentral:rRNA from 1 species
AUUGAACGCUGGCGGCAGGCUUAACACAUGCAAGUCGAGCGGGGUGAUGGUGCUUGCACUAUCACUUAGCGGCGGACGGGUGAGUAAUGCUUAGGAAUCUGCCUGUUAGUGGGGGACAACAUCUCGAAAGGGAUGCUAAUACCGCAUACGUCCUACGGGAGAAAGCAGGGGAUCACUUGUGACCUUGCGCUAAUAGAUGAGCCUAAGUCGGAUUAGCUAGUUGGUGGGGUAAAGGCCUACCAAGGCGACGAUCUGUAGCGGGUCUGAGAGGAUGAUCCGCCACACUGGGACUGAGACACGGCCCAGACUCCUACGGGAGGCAGCAGUGGGGAAUAUUGGACAAUGGGGGGAACCCUGAUCCAGCCAUGCCGCGUGUGUGAAGAAGGCCUUAUGGUUGUAAGGCACUUUAAGCGAGGAGGAGGCUCUUUUGGUUAAUACCCAAGAUGAGUGGACGUUACUCGCAGAAUAAGCACCGGCUAACUACGUGCCAGCCGCCGCGGUAA